UUGUGGUUAAAAAGCUCGUAGUUGGAUCUCGGCGGACUGAGGGCGGUUUGCUUGCUAGUAUUACUGCCCUAUAGUCCGUAGUUUUGCCAGAGGUUUCGGGGUGCUCUUAAUCGAGUGUCCCGGGAUGCUGGCAGGUUUACUUUGAAAAAAUUAGAGUGCUCAAAGCAGGCUAUUACGCCUGAAUAUUCGUGCCUGGAAUAAUAGAAUAGGAAGUCGUUUCUAUUUUGUUGGUUUUCGGAAAUCGACUUAAUGAUUAAUAGGGACAGUCGGGGGCAUUUGUAUUCAAACGACAGAGGUGAAAUUCUUGGACCGUUUGAAGACAAACUACUGCGAAAGCAUUUGCCAAGAAUGUUUUCAUUAAUCAAGAACGAAAGUUAAAGGUUCGAAGGCGAUUAGAUACCGCCCUAGUUUUAACCAUAAACGAUGCCAGCUAGCGAUCUGCGGACGUUUUUUUUGUAGACUCCGCAGGAAGCUUCCGGGAAACCAAAGCAUUUGGGUUCCAGGGGAAGUAUGGUUGCAAAGCUGAAACUUAAAGGAAUUGACGGAAAGGCACCACCAGGAGUGGAGCCUGUGGCUUAAUUUGACUC
rnacentral:rRNA from 1 species